CCUACGGGAUGCACCAGUGGGGAAUAUUGCACAAUGGGCGCAAGCCUGAUGCAGCCAUGCCGCGUGUAUGAAGGAGGCCUUAGGGUUGUAAAGUACUUUCAGUUGGGAGGAAGGCGUUGAUGCUAAUAUCAUCAACGAUUGACGUUACCAACAGAAGAAGCACCGGCUAACUCCGUGCCAGCAGCCGCGGUAAUACGGAGGGUGCGAGCGUUAAUCGGAAUGACUGGGCGUAAAGGGCAUGUAGGCGGAUGAUUAAGUUAGGUGUGAAAUCCCCGAGCUCAACUUGGGAAUUGCAUUUAAAACUGGUCGUCUAGAGUAUUGUAGAGGAAGGUAGAAUUCCACGUGUAGCGGUGAAAUGCGUAGAGAUGUGGAGGAAUACCGGUGGCGAAGGCGGCCUUCUGGACAGAUACUGACGCUGAGAUGCGAAAGCGUGGGGAGCAAACAGGAUUAGAUACCCGAGUAGUC
rnacentral:rRNA from 1 species